rnacentral:rRNA from 1 species
CGGAUUAGUGGCGAACGGGUGAGUAAACAGUGAGAUAACCUGCCUUUAACUCUGGGAUAAGCCUUGGCAAACGGGGUCUAAUACCGGAUACGACCAACCCUCGCAUGGGGUGUUGGUGGAAAGGGAUUUUGUACUGGUUUUAGAUGGGCUCACGGCCUAUCAGCUUGUUGGUGAGGUAACGGCUCACCAAGGCGACGACGGGUAGCCGGCCUGAGAGGGUGACCGGCCACACUGGGACUGAGACACGGCCCAGACUCCUACGGGAGGCAGCAGUGGGGAAUAUUGCACAAUGGGCGCAAGCCUGAUGCAGCGACGCCGCGUGAGGGAUGACGGCCUUCGGGUUGUAAACCUCUUUCAGCAGGGGAGAAGCGAAAGUGACGGUACCUGCAGAAGAAGCGCCGGCUAACUACGUGCCAGCAGCCGCGGUAAUACGUAGGGCGCGAGCGUUGUCCGGAAUUAUUGGGCGUAAAGAGCUUGUAGGCGGUUUGUCGCGUCUGCUGUGAAAGCCCGGGGCUUAACCCCGGGUUUGCAGUGGGUACGGGCAGACUAGAGUGCAGUAGGGGAGACUGGAAUUCCUGGUGUAGCGGUGAAAAUGCGCAAAUAUCAGGAAGGAACACCAAUGGCGAAAGGCAGGUCUCUGGG